rnacentral:rRNA from 1 species
CACAGCAAUGUGUUCAGCUUACCGGUACUAAUCGGCCGUGAGGCUUGACCAU